GUUUGAUCAUGGCUCAGAUUGAACGCUGGCGGCAUGCCUAACGCAUGCAAGUCGAACGGUAACGCGGGGGCAACCCUGGCGACGAGUGGCGGACGGGUGAGUAAUACGUAGGAAUCUGCCCAUUUGUGGGGGAUAACCCGGCGAAAGCCGGGCUAAUACCGCAUACGCUCUACGGAGGAAAGCAGGGGAUCGUAAGACCUUGCGCUAAUGGAUGAGCCUACGUCGGAUUAGCUAGUUGGUAGGGUAACGGCCUACCAAGGCGACGAUCCGUAGCUGGUCUGAGAGGACGAUCAGCCACACUGGGACUGAGACACGGCCCAGACUCCUACGGGAGGCAGCAGUGGGGAAUAUUGGACAAUGGGGGCAACCCUGAUCCAGCAAUGCCGCGUGUGUGAAGAAGGCCUGCGGGUUGUUAAGCACUUUCAGAGGGGAAGAAAAAAUCGGAUCUAACACAUCCGAUCUUGACGUUACCCUUAGAAGAAGCACCGGCUAACUCCGUGCCAGCAGCCGCGGUAAUACGGAGGGUGCCAGCGUUUAAUCCGAAUUACUGGGGCGUUAAGCGCACGCAGGUG
rnacentral:rRNA from 1 species